ACAUCUCACAAAUCCUUAAGGAGGAGGCUGUGUCCCCAGAGUCCUGCAGUCGGGACAUUUGAGAAUUUGGGACCCAGUUGGAAGUGGUUGCGUAUUUCCAUUGCGUGGGAAUAUGUAAAAGG
rnacentral:lncRNA from 1 species